CUCCCUUCUCUUCCCCAUUCUCGGCCUCCCCUCUCUCUCUCUAUACUCUCUUUUCCUCCAUUGAUGUCCAUUGAAGAAAGCUUAGAGAAGCUUCAUCAAACACUACUAUGAGAUAAUCCACCAUCCAAUCCAAUCAAAUACUAUCAUAUCUCAUCAAAUUCAAGAAGCUAGAGCUAAGAUCAAAGUUGGAGCAAAGUCUUGAUCACCUUUUAAAUCCUUGAACACGAGAAGAGCAAGGAAGUAAGUAACUCCACUUUGACGGGAGAUUUUGAGUAAGGUCUUCAGGAUAAGCGAAGGGGGAGUAUGGUGCGGUGCUGGUGGAGAAUGUUUCGGGUUGACGUUUUCUUUCUCUAUCGUAUGUCUGUUUUGUCGAUAGAGUUUUGAUAUGAAGUUAUGUUAAAUAGAGUUUGAUGUUUAAGAUACUUAGUUUCCUUUGAAAAUCAAGCAAUACACUCACGGUUAUAUGUCUUCAUACAUAUAAUCGAUUCGCCUUUUGCUGCGAUACUC